rnacentral:rRNA from 1 species
CAAUAGCGUAUAUUAAAGUUGUUGCGGUUAAAAGCUCGUAGUUGGAUUUCUGCUGAUAUUGACCGGUCCGCCCAUUGGGUGUGUAUCUGGUUUGAUUAAUGCAUCCUUUUGGAAAAUGUAUCUGUACUUUACUGUGUGGAUGCGUGUCCAAAAAUUUUACUUUGAGGAAAUUAGAGUGUUUCAAGCAGGCUCACGCCUUGAAUACAUUAGCAUGGAAUAAUAAGAUAGGACUUUGGUUCUAUUUUGUUGGUUUCUAGAACUAAAGUAAUGAUUAAUAGGGAUAGUCGGGGGCAUUCGUACUUAACUGUCAGAGGUGAAAUUCUUGGAUUUGUUAAAGACGAACUACUGCGAAAGCAUUUGCCAAGGAUGUUUUCAUUGAUCAAGAACGAAAGUCGGAGGUUCGAAGAUGAUCAGAUACCAU